CACCACCCAGAAGGAAAACAGAGAAAAAAAGAAAAAAGAAAAGAAAAGAAAAAGCAGACACAUAAA
rnacentral:ribozyme from 1 species